GCAACCCUUGCCCCCAAACCCUAAUCAAUUUCCUUACCUCCGCCCAAUUCCUCCAUUCUAUAAAUAGAAAGCGGAGGAUCUCUCUCUGCAUCGCCUUUGAGUUCGUCGCUAUCGCCUCCCACAGGUUCUACAUCUACUGGGCUAUCUCCUUCAUCCUUGUCGUGAUGAGUUACUGGUGUGGGCAGUGGCGUUGGCUUUUCAUGGUCAUCACCGUGAGCCUUUUUCACCAAUCAAACGACUUUUCCUUCCACUGAGCGCUCAUUUCCUUUCCAUUUACCUUGAUAAUUUGAGUUUAUACUGAGUUAUUGAUAAAAAAUAGAAGUAUUCUCUCCUGCGUCGAAUAACUGAUUACCAGCGAAUCAUUCCAAUGGUCGCUGCGUAUGAGGCGACGCCAAAUCAUCUUCCUCCGUAUCUGCUCUCUUCAGGCGAGGAACCCCUAUCCUCGAUCCGAUUGUAGAAGCGGGGAUAUUCACUUUCUUUCGACAGUCUUCAGAUCGCCUAUUCAUUCCUUUUUGCUUGUCUUUAAGUUCUAUCCUUGUUCCUCCGGAAAAGAAAGUGAUGAAGAAGAAAGAGCAGAGAGGAUAGAGUUGACUGAAUCUAUAGCACCGGAGGAAGAUUAUUAUUCAGGGCAUCAGUUCUUCAGCCACCAUGAAGCGUGAAGAAUCAAGGUAAGAAUGGGGAUCGGGUCUUCUCCCAACACGAGGGUCGGCGGCGUUACCACUAGGAAUUAGCGGCGGUUGCGGGCCCCUGCUGCAGCUAUGGAUCGGCCGGCGUCGGCGGAGACGCCGGAGGAGGGAGUUGAUAAACUGCGGCGAAUGGAAACGGCUUGGGAUUCCGAAAUAUCUACCAAUGAUUUUAGGGAAUAUUGUAAAUAAGCCCUUAUUUUCUUUAAAAUUUCUAUUUAUACCUCAUUUCCCUCUUUCCAUAUUAAAUACUUUUUUCAAAAAAAGUCCGUAUAUCUUAAACCUUCCAUUGUACUAUAUUUUUUUUACCUAAAAAUAUUAAUAUUCUCAAAA